UCUCUCUCAAGCCAUGGUGUUCUACCCCCUCUCGCUUCAAUAUCUCCGUUUCAGAUCACUCUCUGUCGUCUUGAAUGCGCUCAAGCCAUGGUCUUCGACCCCCACUCGCUUCAAUAUCUCUCCGUUUCAGAUCACUCUCUGUCGUCUUGAAUGCGCUGCCGCCAUCCUGCACAUCAAGUAGGGUUUCAUUUUUGUUUGGCAAGGAUGCCAACCACUAGAGAUUGGCGAUGCAGAAGUUUCGAUCUUGUUCAAGGAGGCAUCUUGAUCUGCAUUGUGUGAUUAGAGAUAAUUUGAGCAUUCUCUGUUUAGCUGUGCAGGAUGAACUUGGUUAUGAAAUCCGUGAUUUUGCUGACGCACCAGUCGAAGUUUCUGCUUCAGCCCCGUAGACAGACCAUGGGGCGGUGUGUUUGGAACAAAGUUGAUUGAUUUCUGAGAACUCUUCUUGCCGCAACCUUUUUUUCAUCCAUGUUAUGACGAUAUUAUUUUACAGAAGAUAUUUUCUGAUAUUGAUCUACUAAAACUCUGAACUGCACAAUCACAAACACUAGAGACCCACAAAAUGUGGGAGGCAGAAGCAGCGACCCGCAGAGCAAGAAUGACCAAGAUCUAAAGCUUGAUGGUCCAAUUGCAGACGAAGGACCAUUAUAUUGCUCAACUGACCGAUUGGAUCCUGUUCCUCCUGAACAAGAACCAAAAACAGUGGAGACCAUCUCCUGUUUCUGAUCCUAAGCCAGCAGCAAAGGAGCCAACCAUGUGAAAUGUCUUUCCAGAUUGACUGAGGAGAAGUGGAGAAGAUUGCAACAUCUACGUAGCAUUUGAAGACUACGAUACUUGAAGGUUUGUACACAUAUCAACCACUUGGACUUGUGACUUUAAUUGUGGUAGGGAAAGCAGUGCCUAAACUUGACCACCGGAAAUUGAUGGGCAACUACUGACUCACCUAUUCAUGGGAGAGCCUCUACCAUUAGUUUCAUGUCGCCUCCUGUAACUUCAUGAGUUUAAACUACUCUCAUUGAAGGAGACAUUUAGUGACAAUUUUCUUCUCCGCCUAAGAUUUGUAGUGCUAAAAAUUAAAACAUAUAUAGGGCAUGAAAAUGUUUAUUUUCAUUACAGAAAUAGCUUCCCUGCUUGUAAGGGAACUUCGUAUGCUGCAGUAUAAUUUUUAUUUCUU